GUCCACGCCCUAAACGAUGGGCACUAGGUGUGGGAGGUAUCGACCCCUUCCGUGCCGCAGCUAACGCAUUAAGUGCCCCGCCUGGGGAGUACGGCCGCAAGGUUGAAACUCAAAGGAAUUGACGGGGGCCCGCACAAGCGGUGGUGCAUGUGGUUUAAUUCGACGCAACGCGAAGAACCUUACCUGGGCUUGACAUCCCUGGAAUCCCCCUUGAAAGAGGGGAGUGCCCCGCAAGGGGAGCCAGGAGACAGGUGCUGCAUGGCUGUCGU
rnacentral:rRNA from 1 species